UUAAGCGACUAAGCGUACACGGUGGAUGCCUUGGCAGUCAGAGGCGAUGAAGGACGUGCUAAUCUGCGAUAAGCGUCGGUGAGGUGAUAUGAACCGUUAUAACCGGCGAUUUCCGAAUGGGGAAACCCAGUGUGUUUCGACACACUAUCAUUAACUGAAUCCAUAGGUUAAUGAGGCGAACCGGGGGAACUGAAACAUCUAAGUACCCCGAGGAAAAGAAAUCAACCGAGAUUCCCCCAGUAGCGGCGAGCGAACGGGGAGCAGCCCAGAGCCUGAAUCAGUGUGUGUGUUAGUGGAAGCGUCUGGAAAGGCGCGCGAUACAGGGUGACAGCCCCGUACACAAAAAUGCACAUGCUGUGAGCUCGAUGAGUAGGGCGGGACACGUGGUAUCCUGUCUGAAUAUGGGGGGACCAUCCUCCAAGGCUAAAUACUCCUGACUGACCGAUAGUGAACCAGUACCGUGAGGGAAAGGCGAAAAGAACCCCGGCGAGGGGAGUGAAAAAGAACCUGAAACCGUGUACGUACAAGCAGUGGGAGCCUCUUUAUGGGGUGACUGCGUACCUUUUGUAUAAUGGGUCAGCGACUUAUAUUCUGUAGCAAGGUUAACCGAAUAGGGGAGCCGAAGGGAAACCGAGUCUUAACUGGGCGUUAAGUUGCAGGGUAUAGACCCGAAACCCGGUGAUCUAGCCAUGGGCAGGUUGAAGGUUGGGUAACACUAACUGGAGGACCGAACCGACUAAUGUUGAAAAAUUAGCGGAUGACUUGUGGCUGGGGGUGAAAGGCCAAUCAAACCGGGAGAUAGCUGGUUCUCCCCGAAAGCUAUUUAGGUAGCGCCUCGUGAAUUCAUCUCCGGGGGUAGAGCACUGUUUCGGCAAGGGGGUCAUCCCGACUUACCAACCCGAUGCAAACUGCGAAUACCGGAGAAUGUUAUCACGGGAGACACACGGCGGGUGCUAACGUCCGUCGUGAAGAGGGAAACAACCCAGACCGCCAGCUAAGGUCCCAAAGUCAUGGUUAAGUGGGAAACGAUGUGGGAAGGCCCAGACAGCCAGGAUGUUGGCUUAGAAGCAGCCAUCAUUUAAAGAAAGCGUAAUAGCUCACUGGUCGAGUCGGCCUGCGCGGAAGAUGUAACGGGGCUAAACCAUGCACCGAAGCUGCGGCAGCGACGCUUAUGCGUUGUUGGGUAGGGGAGCGUUCUGUAAGCCUGCGAAGGUGUGCUGUGAGGUAUGCUGGAGGUAUCAGAAGUGCGAAUGCUGACAUAAGUAACGAUAAAGCGGGUGAAAAGCCCGCUCGCCGGAAGACCAAGGGUUCCUGUCCAACGUUAAUCGGGGCAGGGUGAGUCGACCCCUAAGGCGAGGCCGAAAGGCGUAGUCGAUGGGAAACAGGUUAAUAUUCCUGUACUUGGUGUUACUGCGAAGGGGGGACGGAGAAGGCUAUGUUGGCCGGGCGACGGUUGUCCCGGUUUAAGCGUGUAGGCUGAUUUUCCAGGCAAAUCCGGAAAAUCAAGGCUGAGGCGUGAUGACGAGGCACUACGGUGCUGAAGCAACAAAUGCCCUGCUUCCAGGAAAAGCCUCUAAGCAUCAGGUAACAUCAAAUCGUACCCCAAACCGACACAGGUGGUCAGGUAGAGAAUACCAAGGCGCUUGAGAGAACUCGGGUGAAGGAACUAGGCAAAAUGGUGCCGUAACUUCGGGAGAAGGCACGCUGAUAUGUAGGUGAAGCGACUUGCUCGUGGAGCUGAAAUCAGUCGAAGAUACCAGCUGGCUGCAACUGUUUAUUAAAAACACAGCACUGUGCAAACACGAAAGUGGACGUAUACGGUGUGACGCCUGCCCGGUGCCGGAAGGUUAAUUGAUGGGGUUAGCGGUAACGCGAAGCUCUUGAUCGAAGCCCCGGUAAACGGCGGCCGUAACUAUAACGGUCCUAAGGUAGCGAAAUUCCUUGUCGGGUAAGUUCCGACCUGCACGAAUGGCGUAAUGAUGGCCAGGCUGUCUCCACCCGAGACUCAGUGAAAUUGAACUCGCUGUGAAGAUGCAGUGUACCCGCGGCAAGACGGAAAGACCCCGUGAACCUUUACUAUAGCUUGACACUGAACAUUGAGCCUUGAUGUGUAGGAUAGGUGGGAGGCUUUGAAGUGUGGACGCCAGUCUGCAUGGAGCCGGCCUUGAAAUACCACCCUUUAAUGUUUGAUGUUCUAACGUUGGCCCCUGAUCGGGGUUGCGGACAGUGUCUGGUGGGUAGUUUGACUGGGGCGGUCUCCUCCUAAAGAGUAACGGAGGAGCACGAAGGUUGGCUAAUCCUGGUCGGACAUCAGGAGGUUAGUGCAAUGGCAUAAGCCAGCUUGACUGCGAGCGUGACGGCGCGAGCAGGUGCGAAAGCAGGUCAUAGUGAUCCGGUGGUUCUGAAUGGAAGGGCCAUCGCUCAACGGAUAAAAGGUACUCCGGGGAUAACAGGCUGAUACCGCCCAAGAGUUCAUAUCGACGGCGGUGUUUGGCACCUCGAUGUCGGCUCAUCACAUCCUGGGGCUGAAGUAGGUCCCAAGGGUAUGGCUGUUCGCCAUUUAAAGUGGUACGCGAGCUGGGUUUAGAACGUCGUGAGACAGUUCGGUCCCUAUCUGCCGUGGGCGCUGGAGAACUGAGGGGGGCUGCUCCUAGUACGAGAGGACCGGAGUGGACGCAUCACUGGUGUUCGGGUUGUCAUGCCAAUGGCACUGCCCGGUAGCUAAAUGCGGAAGAGAUAAGUGCUGAAAGCAUCUAAGCACGAAACUUGCCCCGAGAUGAGUUCUCCCUGAGACUUAGAGUCUCCUGAAGGAACGUUGAAGACGACGACGUUGAUAGGCCGGGUGUGUAAGCGCAGCGAUGCGUUGAGCUAACCGGUACUAAUGAACCGUGAGGCUUAACCUU
rnacentral:rRNA from 1 species